AGAACGAACGCUGGCGGCAGGCCUCAAACAUGCAAGUCUAGGGGGUGUAGCAAUACAUCACCGGCGGACGGGUGCGUAACACGUGGGAAUAUACCUUUUGGUUCGGAACAACGCAGGGAAACUUGCGCUAAUACCGAAUGUGCCCUUACGGGGAAAGAUUUAUCGCCAAAGGAUUAGCCCGCGUAGGAUUAGCUAGUUGGUGAGGUAAUGGCUCACCAAGGCUCCGAUCCUUAGCUGUUCUGAGAGGAAGAUCAGCCACACUGGGACUGAGACACGGCCCAGACUCCUACGGGAGGCAGCAGUUGGGAAUCUUGGACAAUGGGGAACCCUGAUCCAGCCAUGCCGCGUGAGUGAUGAAGGCCUUCGGGUUGUAAAACUCUUUCGACGGGGACGAUAAUGACGGUACCCGUAGAAGAAGCUCCGGCUAACUUCGCGCCAGCAGCCGC
rnacentral:rRNA from 1 species